rfam:Halopiger salifodinae strain CGMCC 1.12284 genome assembly, contig: Ga0079850_11
GCGCGGGUAGCCAAGCUAGGCCAACGGCGCAGCGCUUAGGACGCUGUCCCGUAGGGGUCCGCCGGUUCGAAUCCGGUCCCGCGCA